rnacentral:rRNA from 1 species
UACGUAGGCAGCAAGCGUUGUUCGGAGUUACUGGGCGUAAAGGGUGCGUAGGUGGUGAGGUAAGUCGGAUGUGAAAUCUCCGAGCUCAACUCGGAAAUGGCAUUGGAAACUACCUUGCUUGAGGGUUGGAGGGGGGACUGGAAUACUUGGUGUAGCAGUGAAAUGCGUAGAUAUCAAGUGGAACACCAGUGGCGAAGGCGAGUCCCUGGACAACUCCUGACACUGAGGCACGAAAGCUAGGGGAGCAAACAGG